UACGGAGGGUCCAAGCGUUAUCCGGAAUCAUUGGGUUUAAAGGGUCCGUAGGCGGUUUAGUAAGUCAGUGGUGAAAGCCCAUCGCUCAACGGUGGAACGGCCAUUGAUACUGCUAGACUUGAAUUAUUGGGAAGUAACUAGAAUAUGUAGUGUAGCGGUGAAAUGCUUAGAGAUUACAUGGAAUACCAAUUGCGAAGGCAGGUU
rnacentral:rRNA from 1 species